rnacentral:rRNA from 1 species
UGGGGAAUCUUCCGCAAUGGACGAAAGUCUGACGGAGCAACGCCGCGUGAGUGAAGACGGCCUUCGGGUUGUAAAGCUCUGUGAUUCGGGACGAAAGGCCAUAUGUGAAUAAUAUAUGGAAAUGACGGUACCGAAAAAGCAAGCCACGGCUAACUACGUGCCAGCAGCCGCGGUAAUACGUAGGUGGCAAGCGUUGUCCGGAAUUAUUGGGCGUAAAGCGCGCGCAGGCGGUCACUUAAGUCCAUCUUAGAAGUGCGGGGCUUAACCCCGUGAUGGGAUGGAAACUGGGAGACUGGAGUAUCGGAGAGUAAAGUGGAAUUCCUAGUGUAGCGGUGAAAUGCGUAGAUAUUAGGAAGAACACCGGUGGCGAAGGCGACUUUCUGGACGAAAACUGACGCUGAGGCGCGAAAGCGUGGGGAGCAAACAGG